rnacentral:rRNA from 1 species
GUAGGUGGCAAGCGUUGUCCGGAAUUAUUGGGCGUAAAGCGCGCGCAGGCGGUUUUUCAAGUCUGAUGUGAAAGCCCACGACUCAACCGUGGAGGGUCAUUGGAAACUGGAGAACUUGAGUACAGAAGAGGAAAGCGGAAUUCCACGUGUAGCGGUGAAAUGCGUAGAGAUGUGGAGGAACACCAGUGGCGAAGGCGGCUUUCUGGUCUGUAACUGACGCUGAGGCGCGAAAGCGUGGGGAGCAAACAGGAUUAGAUACCCUGGUAGUCCACGCCGUAAACGAUGAGUGCUAAGUGUUAGGGGGUUUUCCGCCCCCCUUAGUGCUGCAGCUAACGCAUUAAGCACUCCGCCUGGGAGUACGGCCGCAAGGCUG